GCCGCAGUAUUUUGACUGUGCAAAGGUAGCAUAAUCAUUAGUUUUUUAAUUGAAAGCUGGUAUGAAUGGUUGGAUGAGAAAGCUUCUGUCUCACUUUAAUUUUAUUUGAAUUUUAUUUUUAAGUUAAAAGGCUUAAAUAUUAUAGAAAGACGAGAAGACCCUAUAGAGUUUAAUAGGUUUAGUUUUUGAAUAUUUAAGGGUUUAAAUUUAUUUAAAGGUUAGCUUAUUUUGUUGGGGUGACAUAAGAAUUGAAAUAACUUCUUUUUUGUUGAACACUGAUUAGUGAUUAUUUGAUCCUGAAUUUUGGAUUUAAAGAAUAAAUUACCUUAGGGAUAACAGCGUAAUUCUUUUGGAGAGUUCUAAUCGAUAAAAGGGAUUGCGACCUCGAUGUUGGAUUAAAGUUAAAUUUUGGUGCAGAAGCUAGAAUUUUA
rnacentral:rRNA from 1 species